GAUGAACGCUGGCGGCGUGCCUAACACAUGCAAGUCGAGCGCACCCUUCGGGGUGAGCGGCGGACGGGUGAGUAACGCGUGGGUAACCUGCCCUAUACACACGGAUAACGUACCGAAAGGUACGCUAAUACGGGAUAAUAUUGUUGGGUGGCAUCUUCUAACAAUCAAAGCUCCGGCGGUAUAGGAUGGACCCGCGUCUGAUUAGCUAGUUGGUGAGGUAAUGGCUCACCAAGGCGACGAUCAGUAGCCGACCUGAGAGGGUGAUCGGCCACACUGGAACUGAGACACGGUCCAGACUCCUACGGGAGGCAGCAGUGGGGAAUAUUGCACAAUGGGCGAAAGCCUGAUGCAGCAACGCCGCGUGAGCGAUGAAGGUCUUCGGAUCGUAAAGCUCUGUCCUCAAGGAAGAUAAUGACGGUACUUGAGGAGGAAGCCCCGGCUAACUACGUGCCAGCAGCCGCGGUAA
rnacentral:rRNA from 1 species